GUAUUAAACAAAGUCGGAUAUAAACAGGAGUCAGAAAACUUUCUAAACUGAAGUUCAAAAAUAGAGUAAUUUCAAAGGUAAAAUGAAAUUGAAGUGUUCUCAGAGUUAGUAUUAAAAGUAAAGUAAAUUUGCUUCGCGUUGUGUUUUUAAAGUAGUGAGAUUUGCACCAUAAAGGGGUGACUAACUGUGGCGAACUGCACCGAAGUGGUAGCUAACUCUAAACUCAAGUGAACUGAUACAGUCCGGCGAGUAUUUGGAGGCCUGUGCAAGGCCGACUCCCACUGAAUAUCAAAUGAUAUUCUAAACUUGUCAUUAAACAGGGUAACUUUAACUGAAACGGUACUGAAGAAAAGUUGAAUAAAUAAAUAUUCAUAAAACAUUAUAAAAACAUCGAAAGUUAAAUACUAAAACAGUUAAAUUAACAAUCCUUACUUUUAUCUUACUGUGUUUAA
rnacentral:lncRNA from 1 species